rnacentral:rRNA from 1 species
GACGAACGCUGGCGGCGUGCUUAACACAUGCAAGUCGAACGGUAAGGCCCUUCGGGGUACACGAGUGGCGAACGGGUGAGUAACACGUGGGUGAUCUGCCCUGCACUUCGGGAUAAGCCUGGGAAACUGGGUUUAAUACCGGAUAGGACUCCUGGCUUCAUGGUUGGGGGGUGGAAAGCUUUUGCGGUGUGGGAUGGGCCCGCGGCCUAUCAGCUUGUUGGUGGGGUAAUGGCCUACCAAGGCGACGACGGGUAGCCGGUCUGAGAGGGUGACCGGUCACACUGGGACUGAGAUACGGCCCAGACUCCUACGGGAGGCAGCAGUGGGGAAUAUUGCACAAUGGGCGCAAGCCUGAUGCAGCGACACCGCGUGAGGGAUGACGGCCUUCGGGUUGUAAACCUCUUUCAGCUAUGACGAAGCGCAAGUGACGGUAGUAGCAGAAGAAGGACCGGCCAACUACGUGCCAGCCGCCGCCGUAA